AUCCCGAGCCGCGAUCCACCACCGCCCCCCUGCUUCCAUCCGCCGCUGCCCCAUGCUUCCAGCGCUGGCGCUCUUCCCCAGCGUGCCACUAGGCCCUCCCCCACCGCCAUCUUCAACGCGCCGUCGUCGCUAGCCCUCUGCCCAGCGCGCCGGGGGCUCUUCACGUCCCAUCUCCGGCGACGAGCCGCCCCCGCUGGACCCCGAGCGCGGCCGCCCCUCCGACUAUGCUGAGUUCGUCAGUUUGUCAGUUCAUCGGUGGGAACCGCAAGUCAGGACCCCAUCUUCCACCCCGCCUCCCACCUCCCGGCCGCCGUGCGCCUCCCACCCUUCGACCGCUGCGCGCCUCCCUUCCCCGGCCGCCGCACGCCUCCCACCUCUCGGCCGCCGCGCGCCUCCCUUCCCCUGCCGCCGCGCACUGUCGAUGGCGGCGUGCCUCAUUUCAUCACUCCAUGGAUCGGUGCUCACCUCGACGGCGCUGUGGACACAGUGGUGCUACUGCAUCGCCUCCUUCCCAUGCUUAUAGGUUGGCCUCCUCCUUAGCCCCUUCUGCCCCGAGGAGGACAACAUCCAGCACAGACCGUUCACCGCCACUACCCCGGGCAGUUCACCACUGUCACCCUCGGCCAUUCACCCCUGCUCCCGACUUCCCUUCCAUUCCUCAGGCCUGGGGAUGUUUUUUCAUUUGACAUACUUCAAGUAUUUUGUGGGGUACAUCCAACGACAAUGAGCAGGCGACAAGUGUAUUGAUGAGUAGCGGGACGGUGGCAUGGAUCAGUUGAGUAGGUGUGCGUAGUUCAAGUUCACCAGUAUUUGUAAAUGUUGGUAGCAAUACUAGUAUUUACAAAUUUGUAACCUAAGAACUAAGCUUGCAUCUCGUUACUUCCAUGGAAGCACUGACCUAUGCUUAUAAGCUUGAAAUCUUUGAUGAAUCCAGCCCGAACUAAAGCAUGUCGGUGAGUCAGGCGCUGGGCCAACCACUAUCGUUUGUCUACCUCCUUCCCGGUGAGCCCAUGCUCUUCUGCUCUUGACGCUUGAGCCGCCUGCAAUUCUUUUCUCUGUUCAAAAAUUCCCAAAGCAUCAGCAAUUCUUUUCUCUGUUCAAAAAUUCCCAAAGCAUCAGUACUUUGUAUCUGGAUACACCAUGUUUCUGCAAAUUUCCAUUAUGCUUGUAUGUACAAAAUGUGUGCAUUUACUACUUUUGAUUUGUUGUAGUGCAGAGAAGUUACCUUAUUGCGGGCUGACCUGGAGGUGGCUCCUCCAUGUCGACACAAUUACAGGACCAACGUGCUACUGACCACGCAAGCUUCCUCAAGGAGCUCGUGCCCAACGAUACUAAAAGGAAAAACUGCUCCAGUUUUGAACUACUUAUUCAGUCAUGCUAUUACUGAGUGAAAAUUGAGUGAAAGUGUAUUGCAAUUGAUCUCUCUUAGACCCUGUCAAUCCUCCAUCUAUCCUUUCUUUGCUUUUUUGGUCUAUAAUUCAAGAACUUUGACCUUCGUAAUUCGGUUUUUGGUUAAUUUGUUCUGCCCAAUACAAACCAUUAAAUCUGAAGAGGCUUCUAAUAGCAAGAAAAUGUGCAAUCGGUGUGGUGUAUAUGUCAUUCAUGUAUGAAAAUUUGCA